rnacentral:tRNA from 1 species
AUGUAGCUCAGUGGUACAGCGCCUGCUUGGCAAGUGUGAGGCCCUGAGUUUGAUUCCCAGCAU